rnacentral:rRNA from 1 species
AACGCGAAGAACCUUACCUGGGCUCGAAGCGCAGUGGAAUCCGGUGGAAACAUCGGCGCCCCUUAAAAGGCUGCUGCGGAGGUGCUGCAUGGCUGUCGUCAGCUCGUGUCGUGAGAUGUUGGGUUAAGUCCCGCAACGAGCGCAACCCUUAUUCGUAGUUGCCACCCGCAAGGGGGAACUCUACGAGGACUGCUCCGGAUAACGGAGAGGAAGGUGGGGAUGACGUCAAGUCAGCACGGCCUUUAUGUCCAGGGCUACACACGUGUUACAAUGCACGGUACAGACUGUUGCGAACCCGCGAGGGGGAGCUAAUCGGAGAAAACCGUGCUCAGUUCGGAUUGCAGUCUGCAACUCGACUGCAUGAAGCUGGAAUCGCUAGUAAUGGCGCAUCAGAUCGGCGCCGUGAAUACGUUCCCGGGCCUUGUACACACCGACGCGUA